rnacentral:rRNA from 1 species
GCUGGCGGUGCGCCUUAUGCAUGCAAGUCGAGCGAAGCUUUUCAGUAGUUUACUACAGAAAAUGACUGAGCGGCGAACGGGUGAGUAACGCGUGAGCAAUCUACCUUAGUUACAGGGAUAGCCCGAGGAAACUCGGAUUAAUACCUGAUAUUCUUUAUUUCUCGCAUGAGAAUAAAAGGAAAGGUCAGCCGAACUAAGAUGAGCUCGCGUUCUAUCAGCUAGUUGGUGAGGUAAAAGCUUACCAAGGCUACGACGGAUAGCUGGUCUGAGAGGACGAUCAGCCACACUGGGACUGAGACACGGCCCAGACUCCUACGGGAGGCUGCAGCAGGGAAUAUUGUGCAAUGAACGAAAGUUUGACACAGCGACACCGCGUGUGGGAUGACGGAUCUAGGUUUGUAAACCACUUUCAGGAGGGAAGAAAAUGACGGUACCUCCACAAGAAGCCCCGGCCAACUACGUGCCAGCAGCCGCGGUAAUACGUAGGGGGCGAGCGUUGUCCGGAUUUAUUGGGCGUAAAGAGCUCGUAGGCGGUUCAACAAGUCGGUCGUGAAAGUUCAGGGCUCAACCCUGAAAUGUCGAUCGAUACUGUUGUGACUAGGAUACGGUAGAGGUGAGUGGAAUUCCGAGUGUAGCGGUGAAAUGCGUAGAUAUUCGGAGGAACACCAAUUGCGAAGGCAGCUCACUGGACCGCUAUCGACGCUGAGGAGCGAAAGCUAGGGGAGCA